rnacentral:misc_RNA from 1 species
CUUCCACAGCUAAAACACUGGUAAGAGAUGUUGCUGCCAGUUCGUCUUUAUUGUUUUCUUUAAUAGAUUUUAUUCAUUCUGGCAAGUUGUGCCUGAGUGAUUAAGGAGCCUCAACAGAUGAUUUCUAAUUGUCAGCAUUAAGUGAAAUUGGUGUUGUUUGUAGUAAUUUGGGCAUGUAGAGGAAGGAACAGACAAUUUGAUUUUGAAUUUUUUGUCACAACUAGUUAUUGGGGCUUUGGCCCUUUCUAUUCUACUUUAUUUGUUGGACCCAACAGCUUACAUGAGUUACAAUUAGUUAGUUGAUGAAAUAUUGGUCUGCUUGAAAAUUUUGAUUUUAUUUUUGGGUUUGGAAAUGACGUAUUCAUUAACUUGGUAUGGGUUUUUUUCUGAGAACUACUUGAAAGCCACAAUCUUUUUGUCUUUCUCCUUUGGACUUCUAGUAGUGAAGAAUGGCAGUUCCUCCCUUAUGAAACUAAAUUUUAUCCCAUUGCUCUCACCCAUUCCUAUCAAUGGUUUAAUCCUCUGUUUUCUUCUAUUUAUUUAUUUUUGGCUUCCAUUUAUAUCUUGUGGUUGGAUUUAGCUUAUGUGUGUGAAUGUGCAUGCUUACGCAUGUGUUUGUGUGUAUAAACAAACGAAUUGCAAACUAAAGCACAAAUCUUAAGUUGAAUGACAAUAACUGAAGGAGGACUUGUUGGCAUGGUUAUUGGAAAGGAUGUAUCCUAUUCCUAUGUCUUAGGAAAUGUCUCAUGGAUAGCUUGUAUGUUGCGCACAUAUGCACUAGUGUAUUUUCUUGUGUAUUUUGUAUAAAUAUUAGGCAAACGACAUGUAGGCUAUUACAAAUUGAUCCUUAUUGUUAAGGAAGUUUGGUGUUUGACUACUAACAUUUUGUAGUAUAGUCAGGAUCUUCUUAGAUUGAUGUG